CUGUGAACACUGUGCACAGCUUCUCUGCUUUCACUGGAUAAGGCCCAGAUUAGCAGUAGAGGCUCUUCCUGAGUGGUCCCCGCUGCCUCUGCAGCCUCGUUCUCUCUCCUCUGGCAUCCUCGCUCCCGCCUCACACAACAGGAGCCUUUCACAAAUGAGCCCUUCAGUCUGGAGCACUCUACUCGCCGCGACUUCCUACCCCCAUCCUCUGCUUCACCAAAUCCUCAGAGAGGCCUAUUCAACUGAAAAGUAGCGGGGAGGAGUGUCUCGAGCUGGCACCAGAUGUUGGCUAAGGGCUGCCCACGGCCCACUCUGCUGGUGCUGGCCCUGUGGAGUGGGGAAGAGGAGCUCAUCCCCAGAGCCCAAGAUAGAGGGACUGGGCCUUGCUCCUGCCCUGGUGUAUGCCCAAGCAGUGGUCGUCUUGCUCAACUGCUUUCUUGGCUGAUAAGCUAACCCUGCAGGAGAAGGAGGCAGCACUGUCUCUGAAGCCACGAAUGAGGUAACACUAAAAGCAUUAGAAGAAGGAGGUAUCUGAUGAAAAGGCACCGGCAAGUCUGAAGUCCUCUUUGCUUGUGAACGAUCCUGCCAGCAUGUCCUUGUCCUGCACCGACGACUAACACUUCAGGCUGCUCCAAAAGGCAACUCACAAACCUAGGAGAGAAGUGGUGGAAGAAUGGAAAGCGAGCUGCUCAGUUCACGUUGUGUCAAUCCUCCCAGAUUAACUUUGUUGACAAAUCUUCAAAAUGACACUGGCUAAAUCUACCAACGUGGCAGUGAAAA